GGGCCCGCACAAGCAGCGGAGCGUGUGGUUUAAUUCGACGCAACGCGCAGAACCUUACCCAGGCUUGACAUGCGCCCGAAAGCCCUGGAAACAGGGUCCUCCGCAAGGACGGGCGCACAGAUGCUGCAUGGCUGUCGUCAGCUCGUGUCGUGAGAUGUUGGGUUAAGUCCCGCAACGAGCGCAACCCUCGCUGCCAGUUGAUCUUCUCUGGCGGGACCGCCGGGACAAACCCGGAGGAAGGUGGGGAUGACGUCAAGUCAGCACGGCUCUUACGCCUGGGGCUACACACACGCUACAAUGGCCGGUACAGAGGGCCGCGAUACCGCGAGGUGGAGCAAAUCCCAAAAAACCGGUCUCAGUUCGGAUUGCAGGCUGCAACUCGCCUGCAUGAAGUCGGAGUUGCUAGUAACCGCAGGUCAGCACACUGCGGUGAAUACGUUCCCGGGCCUU
rnacentral:rRNA from 1 species